AACGACACCAUCGACCGGAAGGAAUCCCUUCCGGUCGGUCGAUGAGGCUUUUACACCUCAUCAACCGGAAGGGAUUCCUUCCGGUUGAUGAGGUUGUU
rnacentral:miRNA from 1 species